GACGAACGCUGGCGGCAUGCCUAACACAUGCAAGUCGAACGGGGGUAGCAAUACCCUAGUGGCGAACGGGUGAGUAACGCACGAGCAACCUACCUUUCACAGGGGGAUAACACCGAGAAAUUGGUGCUAAUACCGCAUAAGACCACAGUAACGCAUGUUACAGUGAUAAAAACGAAUUAGUGGUGAAAGAUGGGCUCAUGUCCCAUUAGCUAGUUGGUGAGAUAACAGCCCACCAAGGCAACGAUGGGUAGCCGACCUGAGAGGGUGAUCGGCCACACUGGAACUGAGACACGGUCCAGACUCCUACGGGAGGCAGCAGUGGGGAAUAUUGGGCAAUGGGCGAAAGCCUUACCCAGCAAUGCCGCGUGAGUGAAGAAGGUCUUCGGAUUGUAAAGCUCUUUGAUUGGGGACGAAUAAAUGACGGUACCCAAAGAACAAGCCCCGGCUAACUACGUG
rnacentral:rRNA from 1 species